UGUUACUAGAAUAACAGAGGAUUAGGGUUCCCGAACUUAAAAGAGCUAUUAAUAGUUACGAUAGAAGUCGAAGAUUUAGGGCUGUAGCAUCAUCCCAUUAAAAAUUAUUAAUAGGGGUGAAACGCCAUCAUUUUUAAAGUUAGCUGGAUAAUAACUAAAUACAUUGAGUGUAUAUUUCAAACCUGUUGAGUGAUAAGAUUGAGCAGCAAAAAAAUUAAGCUAUUUCAUUAUACGAUCUUUAUUAUUUAAAAUAUACUGAAGGGUAGUGUAACGCCAAUUAAACUAGUUAAAGUAUUUCGCUUUAGUUGUUUUAUAAAAAUAAUAAUAAACUUUUUACUAAAUAAUGUAAAAAUUAGUAAGUAUAGGAAAAAUAUAAAAGGAACUCGGCAAAUAUUCUUCUUGCCUGUUUAGCAAAAACAUAGCGGCAUGUAAUUUAUAUGCGGUGAAAUCUGCCCAGUGAUAAUUUUAACGGCCGCAGUACUUUGACUGUGCUAAGGUAGCAUAAUAAUUUGGCUUUUAAUUGAGGUCUGGUAUCAAAGAAUUUACAAGGAGAAUCUGUCUCUUAUAUUCCUGACUGAACUUAAUUAGUAAGUGAAAAUGCUUACUAGAAAACAAAUAGACGAGAAGACCCUUAGAAUUUUAAGAAAUAGCUCUCAAAUUAGGGGGAAUGCUUUUUGUUGGGGCAACAUAUUUUCAUAAAAUAAUAAAAUAAGUUUAAUAAAAUAAAACGAUUAAAUAUCAGUAUAAAAAUUACCUUAGGGAUAACAGCAUAAUUUAUUAUUAAGUUUGUGACCUCGAUGUUGGACUAGGAACGCCAAACACAAGAUGUCUUUGGCGAAAGUUCUGUUCGAACAUUUUAUACCUACAUGAUCUGAGUUCAGACCGG
rnacentral:rRNA from 1 species